rnacentral:misc_RNA from 1 species
UUUUCUUUCAAAAGCAUGAUAAAUGCAAAUAACAAAAUUUACAUUGCAAAAAUAAGAAGCAAUUUAAGACUGUUGGUAAGAUAAAAGGAGAAAGAAAAUGUAAAUAAAUAAAUAAAAAAAGUUGAUAUUUCAGACAACAUAGAAAAGCAUGAUCUUAUCCUUCAAUGGUAAACACAAGAAGCUGUCAAGUUGAUGGGCUUGCCAAGCUUGUUCCCAUGAAGAGUAACAGGGCAUCUUAUACGCUUGUAGAAUUUGGACUUCACCAAUCUUCCCAAAAUGUAAGCCCUUGAUCUCACCACAAAUGUCAGGUUCAGAGGCACUGCUACUUUUUCAAUGUGAUCUUUCGCAUUGGCAAGAAGUGGCACCCCUCCAUACAAGGGAAUUUGAGAAGCUUGCAACACUGUUAUCACUGUCCUUUGGCUCUUCCUCGAUUGAGUAAACCUCUUCAUCUGUCCAGAGGCCAUCUUCAGCUGGUAAUAGUGAAGCUCAAGAGGGGUAGAGGUUACGUGGACGGCGAAGAAUGCGGAGGGAUUUCUGUAGUGAAUCUUGACCGUAGAAUUCAACGACAGCAUGUCUGUUGGCACUCCUGUCUGAUCACUUCCGGCUUGGACAUUAAAGUUCUCGAAAACCAUGUUCUUAACGAAGAUUUUAGGCUUGUAGGCCUUGCUAGCGCCCCACAAAAUCAAGCAGAAAAUGGUGAACAGUAAAACGAAGAACAAAAACCCACACAGAUACAAUCUCACAUUCCGAGCAGAACCACCAUCAUCGUCGUCCAUUUCAUCAUCGUCAUUAUCGUCCUGAUUAAUCUGUACGUGCUUCCAGGCAGAGAGGCUUCUAGGGUUCUUAAGAGACGCCGAGAAGCGCGACGUGGAGGACUCGCGAGAGUGGUGAAUAGGUGAACAAUGAUAAUAAUGGUGAGCUGGCGAGCCAGUUGGGCUAGACCCAUAUGACAUCUUCUCCACGUCAUGGUUUGAGGGGCUCUGGACGUAGUACACCGGCCUCCGCGGUGGUGAUCGCAGCUGCCAUGAGGUGUCGACACUGGUUCCCUCGGAGUCUGUCUUGGCAUGCAUU